GAUGAACGCUGGCGGCGUGCCUAAUACAUGCAAGUCGAGCGAACGGACGAGAAGCUUGCUUCUCUGAUGUUAGCGGCGGACGGGUGAGUAACACGUGGAUAACCUACCUAUAAGACUGGGAUAACUUCGGGAAACCGGAGCUAAUACCGGAUAAUAUUUUGAACCGCAUGGUUCAAAAGUGAAAGACGGUCUUGCUGUCACUUAUAGAUGGAUCCGCGCUGCAUUAGCUAGUUGGUAAGGUAACGGCUUACCAAGGCAACGAUGCAUAGCCGACCUGAGAGGGUGAUCGGCCACACUGGAACUGAGACACGGUCCAGACUCCUACGGGAGGCAGCAGUAGGGAAUCUUCCGCAAUGGGCGAAAGCCUGACGGAGCAACGCCGCGUGAGUGAUGAAGGUCUUCGGAUCGUAAAACUCUGUUAUUAGGGAAGAACAUAUGUGUAAGUAACUGUGCACAUCUUGACGGUACCUAAUCAGAAAGCCACGGCUAACUACGUGCCAGCAGCCGCGGUAAUACGUAGGUGGCAAGCGUUAUCCGGAAUUAUUGGGCGUAAAGCGCGCGUAGGCGGUUUUUUAAGUCUGAUGUGAAAGCCCACGGCUCAACCGUGGAGGGUCAUUGGAAACUGGAAAACUUGAGUGCAGAAGAGGAAAGUGGAAUUCCAUGUGUAGCGGUGAAAUGCGCAGAGAUAUGGAGGAACACCAGUGGCGAAGGCGACUUUCUGGUCUGUAACUGACGCUGAUGUGCGAAAGCGUGGGGAUCGAACAGGAUUAGAUACCCUGGUAGUCCACGCCGUAAACGAUGAGUGCUAAGUGUUAGGGGGUUUCCGCCCCUUAGUGCUGCAGCUAACGCAUUAAGCACUCCGCCUGGGGAGUACGACCGCAAGGUUGAAACUCAAAGGAAUUGACGGGGACCCGCACAAGCGGUGGAGCAUGUGGUUUAAUUCGAAGCAACGCGAAGAACCUUACCAAAUCUUGACAUCCUUUGACAACUCUAGAGAUAGAGCCUUCCCCUUCGGGGGACAAAGUGACAGGUGGUGCAUGGUUGUCGUCAGCUCGUGUCGUGAGAUGUCGGGUUAAGUCCCGCAACGAGCGCAACCCUUAAGCUUAGUUGCCAUCAUUAAGUUGGGCACUCUAAGUUGACUGCCGGUGACAAACCGGAGGAAGGUGGGGAUGACGUCAAAUCAUCAUGCCCCUUAUGAUUUGGGCUACACACGUGCUACAAUGGACAAUACAAAGGGCAGCGAAACCGCGAGGUCAAGCAAAUCCCAUAAAGUUGUUCUCAGUUCGGAUUGUAGUCUGCAACUCGACUACAUGAAGCUGGAAUCGCUAGUAAUCGUAGAUCAGCAUGCUACGGUGAAUACGUUCCCGGGUCU
rnacentral:rRNA from 1 species